rnacentral:rRNA from 1 species
GGCUUAGAGUUUGAUCAUGGCUCAGGAUGAACGCUAGCGACAGGCUUAACACAUGCAAGUCGAGGGGCAGCACAGGUAGCAAUACCGGGUGGCGACCGGCGCACGGGUGAGUAACGCGUAUGCGACUUGCCUAUCAGAGGGGGAUAACCCGGCGAAAGUCGGACUAAUACCGCAUGAAGCAGGGGCCCCGCAUGGGGAUAUUUGCUAAAGAUUCAUCGCUGAUAGAUAGGCAUGCGUUCCAUUAGGCAGUUGGCGGGGUAACGGCCCACCAAACCGACGAUGGAUAGGGGUUCUGAGAGGAAGGUCCCCCACAUUGGUACUGAGACACGGACCAAACUCCUACGGGAGGCAGCAGUGAGGAAUAUUGGUCAACGGGCGUAAGCCUGAACCAGCCAAGUCGCGUGAGGGAUGAAGGUUCUAUGGAUCGUAAACCUCUUAUAUAAGGGAAUAAAGUGUGGGACGUGUCCCGUUUUGUAUGUACCUUAUGAAUAAGGAUCGGCUAACUCCGUGCCAGCAGCCGCGGUAAUACGGAGGAUCCGAGCGUUAUCCGGAUUUAUUGGGUUUAAAGGGUGCGUAGGCGGCCUUUUAAGUCAGCGGUGAAAGUCUGUGGCUCAACCAUAGAAUUGCCGUUGAAACUGGGGGGCUUGAGUAUGUUUGAGGCAGGCGGAAUGCGUGGUGUAGCGGUGAAAUGCUUAGAUAUCACGCAGAACCCCGAUUGCGAAGGCAGCCUGCCAAGCCAUGACUGACGCUGAUGCACGAAAGCGUGGNGGAUCAACAGGAUUAGAUACCCUGGUAGUCCACGCAGUAAACGAUGAUCACUAGCUGUUUGCGAUACACUGUAAGCGGCACAGCGAAAGCGGUAAGUGAUCCACCUGGGGAG